UUGCGCAAAUGUGGCAACGGAUUGGUAGAGAAUAAACGUGUGUCUCUACUAUUAGCAUAUUACAGCACGCGUAUCUUGAUCAUAACCUCAAUUGGCUGUGCCAGCGGCUACUCAAAUCUGUACCGCGCCCUUUGCACUGAGAAGCGUGACACCCUACGCUACGGUGACCGUCCUGUGCUGACUUGCCUUUCUUUUACAAAGUCAUGCUGACAUAGAUUUCAUACUUAUAUCAAGUUAAGUCUUUGGCAUAGACAUUUUUAUUUUACAGAGGAAUUUACCAGUCACUUAAUUUUAAUAACUGCCAUAUUUCGAGUUAUUAUAAUUUACUGCUACUUCAUAAAUGUAUUAACUAAUGAAUAGACAACAACUAAUCAGGUUUAAUGUUCGUCCGUCAAUUGUCAGUACAGCACACAAUUUCCACUUGUGCUGUGGCAGAGCCACGAACAUAUCCUGGACUGAUCGAUCUGUCAUGGGGACAGCUAAACAUCGCCACAGGCAUACAUUUAAAAGUAUUUUUAGAAUGUAGUAGGAAAUACGAGUUAAAUGAAAAUGCAUACUCAAAAUCAGCAUAAAAAACGCAAACUCUUGCUUAGAAGGCACCUCGAAAGGAAUUUGUGCAGACAAAAGAAAGCGGCAGUACAAACUAUUAUUUGAUGUGGGAAGUAAGUAGUUUAGUUACAUAACACAGGAAAUU